rnacentral:lncRNA from 1 species
AUAACAUACACGCCCAGAUGAUGUCACAAUCAGCUGUAUCUAAACAGAGCAGAGCUCAGGUGACAUCACAGAACAGGCAGAGGCAGUUCAGGGGUAUUCUGGUUGCCUUACCCAGCUCUGAAGUCUGUCAGCCUCUUCAGAUGUCACUUGCCAUGUGGUAAGGAAGUGUAGUCAGCAGCUGGUGCAGUGGGAAGAAGAGAAAGGAAGUUCCCCAAGACAAAAACAUCUCGGCAGACCGUGAUCAUGGGCUACAUUCUCCGUACCAGCUUCAUAGCUCCAGUGAGAAAAUAAAUUCCUGCAUCCAGGAGAUGUGGAGUAAGAGAUACAGCUGCCCUUGACCAUAUUUCUUACUUCCGAGAAGAUCGUAGCAGUAAUUCAGGUUAUUGGGGAACAGGUGGUUUGGGUUACAUGAAAUCUCAUCCAGGAUACCUCAUCACAGGCUGGAGUGCAGUGUCAUGAGCUUGGCUCACUACAGCCUCCAUCUUCUGUGCUUAAGGAUCCUUCCCUCUCAACCUCCAAGGUAGCUGAGACUACAGGCAACAUUCGAAACCCAGGUGCCACUCCUUCAGGAAGGUACCAUCAAGCUCCAAGGACUCAUCCUCUUUCUCCUUCCCCACUACCUAGUCAUUAGAGCGUCAGCAUCCACUUCCUGAAAGGAAGAUGCCUGUUUUUCACAUAUCCCAGAAAGCCUCAUUUUAGGACAGCAUUUAGCAGAGUGUAUUCAGGAUCCCACUAACCUUUUCGGAAGACAUGACUUCCAGAUGAUAUAAGGCAAGAAUAAGAAAUUUCAGUGACAGGGAACAGAAAUCAUAUUUCUGCAUUCAGGAUCAUGUUUUCUUGGCUCCAUCAGGAACUGUGCAGGACUGUGCACUCUGUUGAUACUCACAUGGUGGAAUUAUAUUGCCCUUGGCCAACCCUAAAGCCAUCAAGAUAGCAGGUUUGGAAUAAUUCACUGUCGAAGUCUUCUUGAGCUGAGCAGUCAUGUGAGCUUGGAAGAUGAUCCCUCUCCAGCUGAUCCUUCAGCUCAGGCCAUCAUCUACAUCUGGAUUCCUGACCCGGAGAAACUAUGAGUAAUGUGUGCUGCUUUUGAGCCACUAAGCUACAUGCUGCCAUGUAAGAUGUGCCUUACUUCCCCUUUGCCUUCAAUCAUGACUGUAAGUUUCCUGAGGCCUCCCCAGCCAUGCAGAAAUAGACGGGAUUUCACCAUGCCAGUCUGGUCUGGAACUUCCAACCUCAGGUGAUCCACCUGCCUUGGCUUCCCAAAGUGCUGGGAUUACAGGCACGAGCAACCGCACCCAGCCUGAUUCAUUUAAUUCUGAUAGUGUUAUAUUUAGUUUUCUAGCGUAACUUAUUGACUAUAU